AUGAGCGCCCGGGGGCGGGGUUAGGCCCGGGGCAGAGAUGGGGAGCUGGAUGAGGACCACCGCACUGACACAAGCCGGAGCUGCGGCAGAGACCCAGGGCGCGGAGGCGGAGAGACUGCUCCUACUGAGAUUAUCUACACCUGACUCCUUGAUCCAGCUGUUGGAUAAACAUAAACCAUAUUUGCCAUAAACUCUGCCUCCUUGUAAUGACCUCAUCUUCUGUUCAGCUGAAUGCAAUGACUCUGCCUCUCUGUGUCAGUUCUGCAUACUAAACAUGCGAGAUUCUAGGGUAUUGGGGUUUCUCCAUUUGAGAGCCCAGACCACCCAAUUCCAGCUUCCCUGUAUAUUUAUGUGCUCAUGUUUUCUUCACUCCUUCGGCGCCCCAGUCAAGUCCACUCCUAGAAGCCAUGCAGUGACUCAACUCAUCACCACCUGGUGUUGGGAAUGGAACACUGACCUUGAUAAUUUUGGUAAAUGGAGUCAAAUAGGGAUGAAUGUCCUAAAUGGACCGUGCACUUCACACAUCUCAUGCUGGUUCCUCAGCUUUCUUUUUCUUCCGUAUUUGAGGCCAGAGAAUUUCUAAGAGGGAUUCUGAAUCUUCUGCCAUCAUCAAGAUAGGGGGAAGCUGUCCUCUGCUCUUCAAUAUGGCUGCGGUGGAGGCUUCAAGACCUCCUUGGGACCUUGACUAACUAACAUUCUCAUGCCCACAAGCACAAGGGGUCCUGUCUAGAAAGGAGAAGAGAACCUGAAAACUCUUGGCUCUCCAACUGUCCAGGAGGAGAAAUGAGAAAAGACUGCCCUGGUUGUACAACGAAGAAAUAGCAUGGCCAGCCUCGCAUGGCACAUGUGGCCACAGAGCAUGCGGGUCAUCAGGAAAACCUUUAUCACCCCAGCAGCUUUCCUAAACAUCUCUCCAGUGAGAAUCACGUUCUCUGCGUGAUAAGUGAGAUGUAUGCAGACAAGUGGCCUCAUGGAUGGUGGCAAAAGAGACUUUCCUUCUAAGCUGAGUUCACGCUGCCAACCACAUUGCUUCAGCCGCAUCAUCCCAUAUUCAUUGCUCAGCAAGGACAACAAGGAAGGCAUAUGAGUUGAGACCUUUUAUUGUCAGGCUGUCCUAGCCAGUGUUCAGUGUGUCUCUGGCUCUAAAUCCCAGUAGCCAUGACUGCUCACCGUGAAAUUUAAAACACCCUCGAACAUUUCUAACGUGACCUGCCUCUACUCAUCGAGAACUACACAGAGGUCAUCCUGCAGGACUUGCAAAGAGAGAGUCCUCAGCCCUGUUUAGGCAGCGUGAUCCUACCACCUGCCUCCAAGCAACUUAGGAAAGGUUAAGGACUCAAAGUUGGAACCUCAGAACAGCAUUGAGGUCACUAGAGGAAGGGAGGACCAUGAAUGUGCCAUUUGCUUUCUCCUCCCCACCGACUGGAAGAGAAGUGUGAUAGUACAAACCAGCAUAACCCUGUGAGGAAGAGAAAGCUGCUUCUUGAGAAGUAUCUGGCUUACAGGUGAGUCACCUUGGAUUAGUAUGCAAGGAAGCAGUCCGCUUCUCUUGCAUUCUGACACUGAUGUUCACUGUUACUAUUGAGGAAGCAAACCUUCAAAGGAUGGAUGAGCCGUGAAAUACAUGGAGGUUGAACCUAGAGUCGAUGGCUGACACCAAGCUGCAUUAUUGUGUACCUGGUGGACACAUUCAUUGAAGGGAGCCUGACUUGGGGCAGAUGGGUUUGAGAUACCCUAAGAGAAGCCCAGGAAGAGACAUCACGGGAGGAAGUGAGAAGUUCAGAAAAGAGAUUGAAGUUGGAAGAGCAAGCCUGGGGUUGGAAACAAGUCAGAGGUUCUCCACCCUGGCAGCACAAGACUAUUUCAGAAUUCUGGUAACAAGACACAAUACAAAUUCUGACAGAAGGGAUUUGAGGCAAGAUCUGGCAUUGGGGUUUUCUUAAAAGUCCCCAUUCAAUUCUCACAGGCAGCUGAGAGUGGGGCUACUUGGGUGGAUGACUGAAACACUGGAGGGGACAGAUGGAAGAACAGAGUGAAGAGACUUGAACUCAGAGCCUGUCCCCUACAGUGCCUCCCGCACCUCCUGCUACUGCCUGCUGAUGAGAAAAAGUGAUGACACCUAGCCACUGCCCAGUCAGCCCAUGGCAAUGGCCACAGGGAACAUGGCAGGGACACCAGAUAGGACAUACAUUGUCCUCUCAGCAAGAAUGGGCUCUAGAGUGACAGACAAUGGCCUCUUUUCUUUGGCCUAUACCCCCACUGCCCUCUAGACUCUUAGGAACUUCUCUAGGCACUGCAGCUGAUCUGGGCAUAGGCUACCAGGGAGUGGACUCCACAGGCCUCCUUGGGAAGGAGCCCCUUGCCCAGGGCCAGCCUGUGAGUUCUGUCACUGCAGCUGCUGGCCUGUUGCAAGCACCAACCUAUGCUGCAAGCUCACAGGCAUUCAGGCUAUUCUAUCACCUCUUCCCCUGACAGCUGGCCAUGUGGCUUUGUUGAUCCCAUCUAUGCAUCAAGAGAACUAUGGUGAGCCCCUACCAAGACAAGAGGUUGCUAGUGAAACUAGCGUCACAGGGCCCCAUCCUGAUGCAUACUAGUUCUUCUUCUACUGUUGUUGUUCCCCGGGGUAGAGACCGGCCAACCUAGCCCCAGUGAAGAAUAUUCUCCAAGUGCCUGAACUGUGGUCACUGGCUGUCAAUUUAUCCCACACUAGGAUAUAUCGACACAACUCAAGGAACUUGAAGGAGUCUCUGUAUCAGUCCACCCAACUCUGGCUUUCCUCCUUCGAGUAAGGUCUCGAACUAAGGCUCCUGUGUCCCCUUGUACUCUAUCAUCCCCCUUGCUGGGUCACCUGCCGGGGCGGAAGGUCAGAGGGAGAAGCACACCAAGGUCUCCACGCACAGGUGGAGAGAAUGAACUUGGCCUGUCCCGUAACGAACAAGGAGGCUGCAAGACCUGCAGCUUAGUGGCUGAGGAGAAUGGAGGUGAUGCCCUCUGCAAGCCGGGGCAGAUGUGGUGACACUGUCAGCCCCAUUGAAGGCCUGGGACUUUGUCUUCAGUGUGGUGGGAAGCCAUAGCAGCCGUUUACAGUGGUUGAGCAAGUCUGCUGUGGAGGAACCAUGACGCAAGGAGACUGUUCAUACUCCUUCUGGCCAGUGCCUUUACCACUAGGCACAUAUGAUUCUUGAACAUUCUACACAUGGCUUGUUCAAUGGAGAUGUGAUGGGAAUGUAAAAUAAAUGCUGGAUUUCAGACUUGGCACAUGAGAAAGAAGGCAAAAUAGGUCAGUCAUAUUUUAUGCUGAUAGAAUUUUGAAAUAAUAUUUUGAAUUUAGUAGGCUAAAUAAAAUAUACCAUUAAAUUAA